GAUGAACGCUAGCGGUAGGCUUAACACAUGCAAGUCGAGGGGCAGCACAGGUAGCAAUACCAGGUGGCGACCGGCGCACGGGUGAGUAACGCGUAUGCAACCUACCUAUAACUGGAGGAUAGCCCCCGGAAACGGGGAUUAAUAUUCCAUAAAGUUCAGAGAUCGCAUGGUUUUUGGACUAAAGCUCCGGCGGUUAUAGAUGGGCAUGCGUGCCAUUAGCUAGUUGGUGAGGUAACGGCUCACCAAGGCUACGAUGGUUAGGGGGUCUUAAAGGAUGAUCCCCCACACUGGUACUGAGACACGGACCAGACUCCUACGGGAGGCAGCAGUGAGGAAUAUUGGUCAAUGGGCGCAAGCCUGAACCAGCCAAGCCGCGUGAAGGAUGACAGCCCUAUGGGUCGUAAACUUCUUUUGUAUGGGAAGAACCCUCCUACGUGUAGGAGACUGACUGUACUAUACGAAUAAGCAUCGGCUAACUCCGUGCCAGCCGCCGCCGUAAGAC
rnacentral:rRNA from 1 species